GUCUAUGAUGAUGACACCCUGAACAUUCCCGAUCUCGCCUGAUCUCGGAAGCUAAGCAGGGUUAAGCUGGUUAGUACUUGGAUGGGAGACACGUUUUGAGAGGCAGGUAUAGAAA
rnacentral:rRNA from 1 species